UACGUAGGGGCAAGCGUUGUCCGGAUUUAUUGGGCGUAAAGAGCGUGUAGGCGGCUUUACAGGUCCGUUGUGAAAACUCGAGGCUCAACCUCGAGACGCCGGUGGAAACCGUAAGGCUAGAGUCCGGAAGAGGAGAGUGGAAUUCCUGGUGUAGCGGUGAAAUGCGCAGAUAUCAGGAGGAACACCCGUGGCGAAAGCGGCUCUCUGGGACGGUACUGACGCUGAGACGCGAAAGCGUGGGAGCAAACAGG
rnacentral:rRNA from 1 species